GAGGUGCAUUGCUCACUAUUUCGAGAGGGUGACUGCCUCCAUGCCUGCCGGUUUUGUGUCGUUUGAGUGCAAGGUUCUUCCUCGCGGCUCCCACUCGGGCGGAGUUACCUACCCUGACAGUGAUGCCUGGAUGAAAUCUGGCGUGCCGCUCUGCCCAUUCUGGACAAUGGGGAAUUUCGCGUCCAGUGAUGCUUCUUCUUCAGUCAAAGAGGCACAAAGGGCAUCAGCAACCAGCUGCUCACUGCCGGAUCUAAUCUCCGCGCCACCGGUGAACUGCUACCAGGUGCCCAAGGGCUCAAGGAGGAAGCACUGGGACUCUGAGAGCAUCCAGGAUUGGUUGGAGACGGCGGAAUUGGUCGGGCCACGGGUUUACAGCUGCAGCCAUUGCCGGAACCACGUCUGCCUCCACGACGAUAUCAUCUUUGGUCGAGUUUACACUUUUCAGGAUAGAAAAAAGAGACGGGAGGACUGGUUCCCUUAACUCGCUGGGGGUAGCUCGCCGCCUGGUAGCACACGCCCCUUCACAUCUGUUUUUCUCAGGAAUCGACCCUUCACAUAUGACAGCAGCAACACAAAAGCGGCAAUGGCAAGAGCAUAUUGUGCAGAGGAAGAGGAUGUGAAGAAACUUGUGGUUCUCAUCCAAUCUUUGUGAAACUCUCUUUAUAUGCGAUUGUGCACUUGUUGGGUCAUUUUUCUGUGCACUUGCACUUGCACAAGUAUUCAGUUGUGCACAUGUAAAAUUAUUUUGAUGUGCCCUUGUUAGGCGUUGAACUUUAAUGCGUGGAGUCGGUGGAUGAUGUAUUGUAUUUGAUGUGAUAUGCUACUGAAAUGAAAUAUUCAUUUUAUUUA